GUCACUUCUUGGCCUUUGGGCUAAGUUUGAGUGUAGUAUCUGCUAUUAUUAGUUUAAUAUCUGGUAUGUCCUCCACCCAGGGUGAGAUAUUACAUGUGUUUUGUGGGCAAGGAGAUAGAACAAGAGCUUGAUGUGUUGACCUGACUCCUUGAUUUGGUACUGCAAUAUUUCCAGGAGCUAUAUAU
rnacentral:snRNA from 1 species